rnacentral:rRNA from 1 species
CCUACGGGAGGUAGCAGUGGGGAAGUAUUGGACAAUGGGCGGAAAGCCUGAUCCAGCAAUGCCGCGUGAGUGAUGAAGGCCUUAGGGUCGUAAAGCUCUUUUACCCGGGUAUGAUAAUGACAGUACCGGGAGAAUAAGCCCCGGCUAACUCCGUGCCAGCAGCCGCGGUAAUACGGAGGGGGCUAGCGUUGUUCGGAAUUACUGGGCGUAAAGCGUGCGUAGGCGGUUAUUCAAGUCAGAGGUGAAAGCCCGGGGUCUCAACCCCGGAACGGCCUUUGAAACUAGGUAGCUAGAAUCUUGGAGAGGUCAGUGGAAUUCCGAGUGUAGAGGUGAAAUUCGUAGAUAUUCGGAAGAACACCAGUGGCGAAGGCGACUGACUGGACAAGUAUUGACGCUGAGGCACGAAAGCGUGGGGAGCAAACAGGAUUAGAUACCCUGGUAGUCCACGCCGUAAACGAUGAUAACCUAGCUGUUCGGGUACUUGGUAUCUGUAGUGNGCGNGCUACGACAUAGUUAUCGUCCGUCGGUAGGUACGGUCGGUCGAGAUUAAACUUAAACGUAAAGUUAGUACGGCGUGAGACGUACGCGACGGACGACGACGACGGGAGGUAGG